CGCUCCGGUUCCUUGCUCGGCUUCCUCCGAGGCAUUGGGAGUCGUGUCGUGCGCGCGUCGGUCCGACGGCGACCCUCUUAGAGCCCCUCCGUGGUUUUGUCUCUCGUCGUCGCGGCGAACGGAGAACGAAAACCCUAGCCUCGGACGGCGUACUUCCGCGUUCGCGAGCUGCCGCUCCGCUCUUACAGCUCCACAGCUUUUGGUGAGACUUGGAGCGUUGUUCUCCCCAGCAUGCUCCUGCUUGACGUGGUUCCCCCCCCCCUCCCCCUCAGUUAUCCUCUUCAGACGAGCUAUAACAGCGUUCCUCUCCCCCUCCGGAGGUCGCAUUCCCCUCGAACAACGCUUUCAAAACCCCUUCCCCCCGUAAAACAGGUCCUAAGCUCCGCCCACACGGGUCCCUCUCACGAGCUUCCCCAUUGGCCGCCGAACAGCGAAUCAGAGUCGUGAAAGGACGGGAGUGGAAGGGCGGAAAGAGCUUACCGAGAAGCCGAGGUGACCCUUUCGCGUGCUAGGUUGGCAGUGACCAAAAGGUGAGAAAAAUUCGGGGUACGCCAACGUUAAUUUUUUAAAGUGCCGGAGUGAACGAAAACUUUUAUUUUUUUUUUUAAAUUUUUGAGCGUGGUUUUGUUGGAAUGAACGUGGCGGUUCGCGGCGGGACGUGUCGAAUUCGGGCUAGUGCGUGAAGGAUAUUCUCCAGCUGAGAGUUCUCUCCGCGUCCCGACGAGCUCCCAACAAGCGCGGCAGCUGUGAGCGACGCUCGCUUGCCCUGUGAGCAGCGAGAGGCAGGCACGUCGGUGGUCUGACAUCGCAGCCGGUUCGUGUCCCAGUGUGAGCAGCUGAGGGGGUUCACCUGGAAGGAAGACUACUGGUCCUUGUCGAGGCGACAUGACGUGACCGUCAGCGAGCUCAUCUCUUCCCGGAGCCAAGGCGAGUUCAUGGCUCGAGUAACAGGCGGUUUGCCUAAACAUGAAUUCGUUACGGCGAUUUGCCUAAAGUCAUUUCGCCUAAAGGCGUUUUGCCUAACGGCGUUUUGCCUAAAAUGUUACUAUGUUGACAAAACCUCGUUUUGCCUAACGGCGUUUUGUCUAACGGCGAAUUGCCUAACGGCGUUUUGCCUAAUGGCGAAUUGCCUAACGGUGUUUUGCCUAACUACGAUUUGGCCAACGGCGUUUUGCCUAAUGGCGUUUUGCCUUACCUAACCUAACAGCGUUUUGCCUAUCGGUGUUUUGCCUAACUACUAUUUGGCCAACGGCGUUUUGCCUAAAAUGAGGCAAAACGCCUUUAGGCAAAACGACACAUCCCCCUAGCUCGGCCACUAAACAAGCUAGUAGCACACUCCGUGGUGCUUACCUAACACUAACUUAACGAAUAUAGACGCUGGUCAUUAAUUUAAUCACGGCUUAUUUUCAUGUUUCUGAGCUCCAUUUAUAAGGUGAAAUUGUGAAUCGUUACUCAUAAAUGUUAAUGCAGAAUUUUUGGUGCUUACCGUUUAAUCAUUUAAUAGCUUUUGGGAGCAGUUUGAUAAAGCCUAGUUUGAAGAAAUCUAUGAACUGGAGUAAAUGCUCAGUAGCCUUUUAAGACCCACUAUUAUGUCUAUUAAAAAAAUGUUUUUAUUGUGUGGGUUUUAUAGAUCUUUUAUGCUUAGUGUUGAUGCCCAAUAUUUUUAUGUUCACAGUGAACCAACAAAUUAAGCACGACAUUGUGAAGACGUCAAUCAGAGAUCCACAAGUCACUAAUAUUCUACGAUGUUUAAUCAAUCAGUUCAUCCAUUUGUAUUUUAUGGAAGUGAGUGAACUUUGUGAUUAAAUCUGUUCCUUUGAACCUCUUGUGUUUAUGCACGCACACUCCCUCGCAUAUCCUUUAUCCCGUUACACUUUGAGAGUGUAACACGUGAAAUAAUGUUUCCAUUGUGCGCCGCUUUCCCACGCACGUAAGCAUCAGUUUAUCAAUGGCUAACUCAGUAACAUCCAGGUUUCAUAUUUCAUGAUGGUUAUGUGCAGUUAGGUCACAUUCAAAUUAACAUUCAUUCGGAAAAAAAAAAUACUGAGCGUGAACACAUUUCUAAGAUUUCACAGAUAAAUUUACUAAACAAAUCUUUCAAAAGACACAUAUAAUAACAUUAGGUAUUACAAAUGCUUCUGUCUAACCAUCUUUCGGAGACAAAAUUCUGAAGAUUAUUUCGGUUACUUUGCGCUCGCUAGGCGACUAAAAUAAAAAUAAAAAUUAAUCGGAAAGUCUGUCGCGUCCAUAUUUUUUGACACGAUGGCGUCACAAACAUGAUUUAUUUGGAGAAAUAUUCGAAUUUUCGUCGCGCUAUUGUGAUUCCAGUAUCAAGACCUGGGGAAAAAAAUAGGUGAGCUUAUUUUAGUGUUACUUAAGCUUUGAAAACAUAGCGUUUAGUAGGCCUACGUCAGCUGCGCCACUUACAACCGCAGGAUAAGCACUUGUGUGUUCUGCGGCGUGACAGGCCUGUUCUGCACCUUCAACGCACUAGUUUCCAAGGAAAUUACGUAAGGUCCUAUUCCGCGUUCUGUUCUGAGCUCCUGUCCGACUCGACUCGCACACAAGCGAGCAUUUAGUUUAUAUUUUCUAUUUACAUCGCAAAAAUAGUUACUGAUAGUCGCGGUAUUCGUUGACGAUUUAGAUUAGAUUUCGUCACAAUAAUCCAGGGAAGGAGUUUAUUUUCUCAGGUUUUUGAAUAGAACAUAGCACAUGUCAUUCUGAAAAAAAAAAAAAGUAGCGUUAUAGCAGUGAAAUAAUUUUUGAAGUCGGUCCACUAAGUAAUUUUCGAUUUUACCCGUUAAAAGCAAACAAGAUCACACACACUAUUCAUGAUAUGGGUAUAUACUUACUAUGUUAAUACUUAAAACAGUACGAAACAAGUAACAAGAAAGUCUUUUAAAAAAUAUUUUUCAGGUGUUGACAAUUAAGUACGUGAGUGGUAAACAAGUGAAUGGCCUAAUUGAACUCACAAAAUUAGAAGUUGACCUAUUCGGGGCUGUGACAGUGAGCUAGCUUCUAGCUAGCUGGUUCGGGACGUGGCGAGGGCAGCGCAGUAAUCCUCACCCCCCCCCCCCCCCACCCGUCUCUUCCACAGUCGUACAACCGUGGUUCUCCGUCUCUCUUUUCGCUGCGCUGUCGCCGCCCGCGCGGCAACACUGCAACUUCCCCGCGCGCCGUUGCCAAGUCUCCUUCCGUCGCCCGCGCCGCGCCGGGUCUAAUCACGCCACAGGGUGCGCCGCAAGUUGCUGCAGUACGCGGCGAUACGUGGCAGUCAGCCUUGAUUUGUUUAAUACCGAUUUUAUAGCGAAGUUAAAGCUUUUCGCCUUCUCUUACCAUCAACUACAUAAAAUCACAUUACGUAACCUAUGAUAAUACUAUACUUAAUCUAAAAUAAUUACUUAAAAGUCCGGACAUUAUAAAAGUCUUAAGAACAAACGAACACAGGUAGCACUUGUACUUCAGCUGAACAGUUCUCGGGUUCUGUGAAUGCGUGUAAGUAACUGAACCUAUGGAUUUGUUGUAACGAAACGAUAUAUAGAUACAUUAUUACGUCGCCACAUCCAAACUUUAUAAACUAAAACGAAAAAAAAAAAGUUCACAAACCAAUGAAAAUUACGCCUUUUUAUAAGAGUGAUGUAAACCUAAUUUUCCGAUUCACUGCAUCCCUGGAUGGUUUGUUGUUGUACGUCAAAGCUAUGUUCACGAGUAGUUACUGACGCACACAGGUACAGUACAUAAGUAUACGCAGAAUUUCAUUUGAGGGAACAUUUGAACAUUAAAAAAUAACAGACAACAUUUCUGUUACACCUACAACCUACUUGUUAAGCACUAUGUGUACGAGUAAACUAUAGAAGUGAAGAAAAUAAUCAAAUAUGCCAACAAGCCAGUAAAACAUACUUUACCUAAUAAAAAAAUACGAGCUUGAAUGCUGUAUUUUUUUUAAUAUGUCGUAUGUUAAAUAUGUAUGCAUAAAUUGUUUAGUCAUUUUAUGAUGAAACAUUAGCUGGCAUGUGUACUACUCGGAAUUUUAA